UGGUGAUACCACAUUGAAGCACUGGUUCUCGCACGAUCACCAAGGUUAAGCAAUAACAAGCCUGGUCAGUACUUAGAUGGGUGACCGUUUGGGAAUACCAGGUAUUGCAAGC